GAUGAACGCUGGCGGCGUGCCUAAUACAUGCAAGUCGAGCGAACGGACGAGAAGCUUGCUUCUCUGAUGUUAGCGGCGGACGGGUGAGUAACACGUGGAUAACCUACCUAUAAGACUGGGAUAACUUCGGGAAACCGGAGCUAAUACCGGAUAAUAUUUUGAACCGCAUGGUUCAAAAGUGAAAGACGGUCUUGCUGUCACUUAUAGAUGGAUCCGCGCUGCAUUAGCUAGUUGGUAAGGUAACGGCUUACCAAGGCAACGAUGCAUAGCCGACCUGAGAGGGUGAUCGGCCACACUGGAACUGAGACACGGUCCAGACUCCUACGGGAGGCAGCAGUAGGGAAUCUUCCGCAAUGGGCGAAAGCCUGACGGAGCAACGCCGCGUGAGUGAUGAAGGUCUUCGGAUCGUAAAACUCUGUUAUUAGGGAAGAACAUAUGUGUAAGUAACUGUGCACAUCUUGACGGUACCUAAUCAGAAAGCCACGGCUAACUACGUGCCAGCAGCCGCGGUAAUACGUAGGUGGCAAGCGUUAUCCGGAAUUAUUGGGCGUAAAGCGCGCGUAGGCGGUUUUUUAAGUCUGAUGUGAAAGCCCACGGCUCAACCGUGGAGGGUCAUUGGAAACUGGAAAACUUGAGUGCAGAAGAGGAAAGUGGAAUUCCAUGUGUAGCGGUGAAAUGCGCAGAGAUAUGGAGGAACACCAGUGGCGAAGGCGACUUUCUGGUCUGUAACUGACGCUGAUGUGCGAAAGCGUGGGGAUCAAACAGGAUUAGAUACCCUGGUAGUCCACGCCGUAAACGAUGAGUGCUAAGUGUUAGGGGGUUUCCGCCCCUUAGUGCUGCAGCUAACGCAUUAAGCACUCCGCCUGGGGAGUACGACCGCAAGGUUGAAACUCAAAGGAAUUGACGGGGGCCCGCACAAGCGGUGGAGCAUGUGGUUUAAUUCGAAGCAACGCGAAGAACCUUACCAAAUCUUGACAUCCUUUGACAACUCUAGAGAUAGAGCUUUCCCCUUCGGGGGACAAAGUGACAGGUGGUGCAUGGUUGUCGUCAGCUCGUGUCGUGAGAUGUUGGGUUAAGUCCCGCAACGAGCGCAACCCUUAAGCUUAGUUGCCAUCAUUAAGUUGGGCACUCUAAGUUGACUGCCGGUGACAAACCGGAGGAAGGUGGGGAUGACGUCAAAUCAUCAUGCCCCUUAUGAUUUGGGCUACACACGUGCUACAAUGGACAAUACAAAGGGCAGCGAAACCGCGAGGUCAAGCAAAUCCCAUAAAGUUGUUCUCAGUUCGGAUUGUAGUCUGCAACUCGACUACAUGAAGCUGGAAUCGCUAGUAAUCGUAGAUCAGCAUGCUACGGUGAAUACGUUCCCGGGUCU
rnacentral:rRNA from 1 species